rnacentral:rRNA from 1 species
UGGGGAAGAUUGCACAAUGGGCGAAAGCCUGAUGCAGCGACGCCGCGUGUGGGAUGACGGCCUUCGGGUUGUAAACCUCUUUCAGCAAGGAAGAAGCGAAAGUGACGGUACUUGCAGAAGAAGCGCCGGCUAACUACGUGUCAGCAGCCGCGGUAAUACGUAGGGCGCAAGCGUUGUUCGGAAUUAUUGGGCGUAAAGGGCUUGUAGGUGGCGUGUCGCGUCUGCGGUGAAAACUCGAGGCUUAACCUUGGGCGUGCGGUGGGUACGGGCAGGCUAGAGUGCGGUAGGGGAGACUGGAAUUCCUGGUGUAGCGGUGAAAUGCGCAGAUAUCAGGAGGAACACCGAUGGCGAAGGCAGGUCUCUGGGCCGUUACUGACACUGAGAAGCGAAAGCAUGGGGGGCGAACAGG